UGCCCAAUGCGGGAUUCGAACCUGGGUCAUGGCUUUCGGAAAUCCACGUCUUAUACCACUCGUCCAAACC